GUGCCAUUAACUCAGUGGUAGAGUAACCGACUUUUAAUCGGAAGGUCGCGGGUUCAAGCCCCGCAUGGCGCA
rnacentral:tRNA from 1 species